rnacentral:rRNA from 1 species
GGGAAAGUCCGGCCAUAGCGGGUGAUAGCCCCGUAUGCGUAAAGCCCCAGUUGAUCCUUGAGUAAGGCGGGACACGUGAAAUCCUGUCUGAACAUGGGGGGACCACCCUCCAAGCCUAAAUACUCCCUGGUGACCGAUAGCGAACAAGUACCGUGAGGGAAAGGUGAAAAGCACCCCGAUGAGGGGAGUGAAAUAGACCUGAAACCGAAUGCCUACAAGCAGUCGGAGCCUCUUAUGGGGGUGACGGCGUACCUUUUGUAUAAUGGGUCAGCGAGUUUCUGUUCGCGGCAAGCUUAAGCCGAUAGGUGUAGGCGCAGCGAAAGCGAGUCUGAACAGGGCGUUCAGUCGCGGGCAGAAGACCCGAAACCGAGUGAUCUAGCCAUGGCCAGGCUGAAGGUGGGGUAACACCCACUGGAGGGCCGAACCCACGCCUGUUGAAAAAGUCGGGGAUGAGCUGUGGCUAGGGGUG